rnacentral:rRNA from 1 species
GGGUUGUGAGGUUAAGCGACUAAGCGUACACGGUGGAUGCCCUGGCAGUCAGAGGCGAUGAAGGACGUGCUAAUCUGCGAUAAGCGUCGGUAAGGUGAUAUGAACCGUUAUAACCGGCGAUUUCCGAAUGGGGAAACCCAGUGUGUUUCGACACACUAUCAUUAACUGAAUCCAUAGGUUAAUGAGGCGAACCGGGGGAACUGAAACAUCUAAGUACCCCGAGGAAAAGAAAUCAACCGAGAUUCCCCCAGUAGCGGCGAGCGAACGGGGAGCAGCCCAGAGCCUGAAUCAGUGUGUGUGUUAGUGGAAGCGUCUGGAAAGGCGCGCGAUACAGGGUGACAGCCCCGUACACAAAAAUGCACAUGCUGUGAGCUCGAUGAGUAGGGCGGGACACGUGGUAUCCUGUCUGAAUAUGGGGGGACCAUCCUCCAAGGCUAAAUACUCCUGACUGACCGAUAGUGAACCAGUACCGUGAGGGAAAGGCGAAAAGAACCCCGGCGAGGGGAGUGAAAAAGAACCUGAAACCGUGUACGUACAAGCAGUGGGAGCACGCUUAGGCGUGUGACUGCGUACCUUUUGUAUAAUGGGUCAGCGACUUAUAUUCUGUAGCAAGGUUAACCGAAUAGGGGAGCCGAAGGGAAACCGAGUCUUAACUGGGCGUUAAGUUGCAGGGUAUAGACCCGAAACCCGGUGAUCUAGCCAUGGGCAGGUUGAAGGUUGGGUAACACUAACUGGAGGACCGAACCGACUAAUGUUGAAAAAUUAGCGGAUGACUUGUGGCUGGGGGUGAAAGGCCAAUCAAACCGGGAGAUAGCUGGUUCUCCCCGAAAGCUAUUUAGGUAGCGCCUCGUGAAUUCAUCUCCGGGGGUAGAGCACUGUUUCGGCAAGGGGGUCAUCCCGACUUACCAACCCGAUGCAAACUGCGAAUACCGGAGAAUGUUAUCACGGGAGACACACGGCGGGUGCUAACGUCCGUCGUGAAGAGGGAAACAACCCAGACCGCCAGCUAAGGUCCCAAAGUCAUGGUUAAGUGGGAAACGAUGUGGGAAGGCCCAGACAGCCAGGAUGUUGGCUUAGAAGCAGCCAUCAUUUAAAGAAAGCGUAAUAGCUCACUGGUCGAGUCGGCCUGCGCGGAAGAUGUAACGGGGCUAAACCAUGCACCGAAGCUGCGGCAGCGACGCUUAUGCGUUGUUGGGUAGGGGAGCGUUCUGUAAGCCUGUGAAGGUGUGCUGUGAGGCAUGCUGGAGGUAUCAGAAGUGCGAAUGCUGACAUAAGUAACGAUAAAGCGGGUGAAAAGCCCGCUCGCCGGAAGACCAAGGGUUCCUGUCCAACGUUAAUCGGGGCAGGGUGAGUCGACCCCUAAGGCGAGGCCGAAAGGCGUAGUCGAUGGGAAACAGGUUAAUAUUCCUGUACUUGGUGUUACUGCGAAGGGGGACGGAGAAGGCUAUGUUGGCCGGGCGACGGUUGUCCCGGUUUAAGCGUGUAGGCUGGUUUUCCAGGCAAAUCCGGAAAAUCAAGGCUGAGGCGUGAUGACGAGGCACUACGGUGCUGAAGCAACAAAUGCCCUGCUUCCAGGAAAAGCCUCUAAGCAUCAGGUAACAUCAAAUCGUACCCCAAACCGACACAGGUGGUCAGGUAGAGAAUACCAAGGCGCUUGAGAGAACUCGGGUGAAGGAACUAGGCAAAAUGGUGCCGUAACUUCGGGAGAAGGCACGCUGAUAUGUAGGUGAAGUCCCUCGCGGAUGGAGCUGAAAUCAGUCGAAGAUACCAGCUGGCUGCAACUGUUUAUUAAAAACACAGCACUGUGCAAACACGAAAGUGGACGUAUACGGUGUGACGCCUGCCCGGUGCCGGAAGGUUAAUUGAUGGGGUUAGCCGCAAGGCGAAGCUCUUGAUCGAAGCCCCGGUAAACGGCGGCCGUAACUAUAACGGUCCUAAGGUAGCGAAAUUCCUUGUCGGGUAAGUUCCGACCUGCACGAAUGGCGUAAUGAUGGCCAGGCUGUCUCCACCCGAGACUCAGUGAAAUUGAACUCGCUGUGAAGAUGCAGUGUACCCGCGGCAAGACGGAAAGACCCCGUGAACCUUUACUAUAGCUUGACACUGAACAUUGAGCCUUGAUGUGUAGGAUAGGUGGGAGGCUUAGAAGUGUGGACGCCAGUCUGCAUGGAGCCGACCUUGAAAUACCACCCUUUAAUGUUUGAUGUUCUAACGUUGACCCGUAAUCCGGGUUGCGGACAGUGUCUGGUGGGUAGUUUGACUGGGGCGGUCUCCUCCUAAAGAGUAACGGAGGAGCACGAAGGUUGGCUAAUCCUGGUCGGACAUCAGGAGGUUAGUGCAAUGGCAUAAGCCAGCUUGACUGCGAGCGUGACGGCGCGAGCAGGUGCGAAAGCAGGUCAUAGUGAUCCGGUGGUUCUGAAUGGAAGGGCCAUCGCUCAACGGAUAAAAGGUACUCCGGGGAUAACAGGCUGAUACCGCCCAAGAGUUCAUAUCGACGGCGGUGUUUGGCACCUCGAUGUCGGCUCAUCACAUCCUGGGGCUGAAGUAGGUCCCAAGGGUAUGGCUGUUCGCCAUUUAAAGUGGUACGCGAGCUGGGUUUAGAACGUCGUGAGACAGUUCGGUCCCUAUCUGCCGUGGGCGCUGGAGAACUGAGGGGGCUGCUCCUAGUACGAGAGGACCGGAGUGGACGCAUCACUGGUGUUCGGGUUGUCAUGCCAAUGGCACUGCCCGGUAGCUAAAUGCGGAAGAGAUAAGUGCUGAAAGCAUCUAAGCACGAAACUUGCCCCGAGAUGAGUUCUCCCUGACUCCUUGAGAGUCCUGAAGGAACGUUGAAGACGACGACGUUGAUAGGCCGGGUGUGUAAGCGCAGCGAUGCGUUGAGCUAACCGGUACUAAUGAACCGUGAGGCUUAACCUUACAACGCCGAAGGUGUUU